UACGUAGGAGGCGAGCGUUGUCCGGAGUUACUGGGCGUAAAGGGUGCGCAGGCGGCGUUCCGCGUGGACAGAUGAAAUCUCCUGGCUUACCUGGGAGGGUGGUGUCCAGACGGGAGCGCUUGAGGGUCGGAGAGGGGCGUGGAAUUCCGGGUGGAGCGGUGAAAUGCGUAGAGAUCCGGAGGAACACCGACGGCGUAGGCAGCGCCCUGGACGAC
rnacentral:rRNA from 1 species